rnacentral:lncRNA from 1 species
UUGAAUCCCUCUUCUCUCUCAACUCUUUCUGAAACUCUCCUGAAACCUAGCCGCCGCCCUCUAAUCCCACCCCAAUAUCUACCUAAUCCAUGGCCUCUCAUGGCCAUUUGAGAUAUUGUAUCAGCUCCGUAUGGCUCCUGGUGCUGGUUUCUAUGAUUUCAUGGCCAGACCUUGAGAGAAUCUGGUCCAAUCCUUGCUCGAUUGUUGUUCAUGGCCUUUCUCCAACCAUUCACAAACUUUUUCUGCC